ACGGCAAGUACUCCUUUUGUUCCCCAAGCCAUCUUCCUUCUAGCUACUCAGCAGGCGAUGCAGAUAUAAGAGUCCGAUACAGUGAGCUCGUCUUGUGAAUCUAGGAGUUGCAUUUGCUACACUUGUUGAGAAGACCACGGUGAUGUUUCUGGAAGUGCUUUAGUAUUGGUGUUCCGUGGUGCAGGUGACUAUUCAUAUGCUAUCAUAUCAUUUUUAUCAUUUGUCCCCUAAUGUUGUGUUGUUGGGUUCUCAUUUUCUUGGAUUUUUGACUAAUUGGAGCGUAUUUCUUCAUUGUUUUUGCUGCUCUGAUUAAUUUAUCUAGUAAUAAU